UUUGAUGGCGACCGGCGCGCGGGUGAGUAACACGUAUCCAACCUGCCGAUGACUCGGGGAUAGCCUUUCGAAAGAAAGAUUAAUACCCGAUGGCAUAGUUCUUCCGCAUGGUGGAACUAUUAAAGAAUUUCGGUCAUCGAUGGGGAUGCGUUCCAUUAGGUUGUUGGCGGGUAACGGCCCACCAAGCCUUCGAUGGAUAGGGGUUCUGAGAGGAAAGUCCCCCACAUUGGAACUGAGACACGGUCCAAACUCCUACGGGAGGCAGCAUG
rnacentral:rRNA from 1 species